AUGGAAGUGAUAAUUGGGGUAAAUUUUGUCUAUGUCUGGAAAUUUUGGGUAUCAAGGGUUUUUAAGUACUGUAAGGUGAACAGAAAAAAGUACUUGUUUGGUUCUACUUUAAUAAUGGGAAAAAAAAGAGUAAAUGUUAGUUCACUUUCUUGUCAUAUUUUGGUUUGUCUUUUUACCAUUCUUGCAGUGAUUCAUAUUGACUGUCAUAACAACAAUAACGUAAUGCUAACAGAACGACUUUUGCUGUCACAGCUACACGCAUGGUUCAUUUCAGUGUUUUGUCAAGAAACAUUGCUUGUAACAUUCAUUAUUCAAAAUUGUAAUAGAAACAGUGGUUUUUGG